GAAGCUGAAAAGAGAAGAGACCCAGGAGAAGUCCAAGACGAUCAAAAUGAUAUACCAAGGGUGUGGCGUCGAUCUCCCGGCUAUUGUUGCUUACGUUACAAGAGAGUUUACCAWUGCAUCAACUAUCUUUGCGGAACGAGAUGUCACAAAACAGGCUGGUGGCUUGGAG